UACGAGAGGCCCAAACGUUAUUCGGAAUUACUGGGCUUAAAGAGUUCGUAGGCGGCGCAACACGUGGGGUGUGAAAGCCCUCGGCUCAACCGAGGAAUUGCGCUCCAAACUGUUGUGCUUGAGGGACCUAGAGGUGAGCGGAACUGAUGGUGGAGCGGUGAAAUGCGUUGAUAUCAUCAGGAACACCGGAGGCGAAGGCGGCUCACUGGGGGUCUUCUGACGCUGAGGAACGAAAGCCAGGGGAGCGAACGGG
rnacentral:rRNA from 1 species